rnacentral:rRNA from 1 species
AUUGAACGCUGGCGGCAGGCCUAACACAUGCAAGUCGAGCGAGCGGCGGACGGGUGAGUAAUGUGUGGGAAACUGCCUGAUGGAGGGGGAUAACUACUGGAAACGGUAGCUAAUACCGCAUACCCUCAGAUGUGCCCAGAGGGGGUUAGCUGGUCGGGGGGGGAACGGCUCACCUAGGCGACGAUCCCUAGCUGGUCUGAGAGGCUGACAAGCCACACUGGAACUGAGACACGGUCCAGACUCCUACGGGAGGCAGCAGUGGGGAAUAUUGCACAAUGGGCGCAAGCCUGAUGCAGCCAUGCCGCGUGUGUGAAGAAGGCCUUCGGGUUGUAAAGCACUUUCAGCGGGGAGGCGUUACCCGCAGAAGAAGCACCGGCUAACUCCGUGCCAGCAGCCGCGGUAAUUC